CAAGGACAAGCUUCUCCGCUCCCAACCAUUGCUUCCCUCUCACUGCCACGUACCGCCAUCCCCUCCCUCACUGACAAAUUCUAUGUCGCCGAUCUAAUCGGCUCAGUUUUCGUAUCCGCCUAAGACACCUCCUCCACCGUCCUCUCCCCCACUUCCGACUACGUCUCCUCCACCUUCAUCGAGAUCGACCCCGUCACCGAGGACGGGCCUCAUGAUAAACUGAUAAGCAGUUACAACGCCAACACGGCGGCUGCUGGAAAUGGCAAGAUGAUCGAGGAGAUGUACCAGAAAGAGUCAGCUACAUGUUUUGUCCGGAUAACUACAUCGGAUCCAUAGGGAAGCACCAAUGAUAUGAGCACCAAUUCUCGAAAACCCAAACCCUCUGGGUCGCCUACGUCCCGGCGCUUUACAAGAUCUUCGACGACAUUCUGGUGUUGACUGAAUUCGUCAUCGAAACGGUCGACGGCAAGCGCCAGAAGAAGUACAGGUACGAAUAUUAAGGCAAAUUACAUGGAGGUGCUUAUGAGUUUACAGUAUGCUUGGCCAAUGCAGAGUCUCGCAUCUCCUAAGGAUGAUGUCAUGUUGGUUACUUGUGACUAGUGAGAUAUGUAUGUUGUGGGAGUGUAGGAGUGGCAGAGGCAACACUCAUGUAUAACCAGAUGUAUCAUCAGUUUUCCUCAUAAUAGUUGAUGUACCUGUUUCAAAUAACCACCAAAUAAUGAAGUUCAAGUUUGCAGCAGACUGCAUUCUAUACGAUGCUGAGUUUUGCAUUUACACUGUAAUUCUUAAUACACAUAUACAGUCUAGUCCGCUAUGAAUUUUGGCUGUGAUGGUGUUGUAUAGUGUAGGCUAUGAUACACCAGUACAGAUACGGAACACGGAUAUAGUACGGCAUGAUACGAGGAUACGUUUUUUUCUAGUAUGUAGCGUUUUGGAUAUGUUUUGUAAAAUCAUAUUUAAUAUAUAUAAUAAAUUUUAGAAUUUAAUCAAAAACAGCAAUUAGAAAUUUAGAUUACCUAAAUCUCAUCAAUUUUACAAUAAACAUAAGUCCAUAAAUACGUUUUGUUAAUAAAUUGAUUAUACCACUGGAGUACUGGUUAGAGCAGUACCCGAACUAAAGUAGAGACGUAGUAGUCUAACAAUCUCAUAUUCAAAGGUAGGUUGCUUAAUUAGUGUUCUUUACUAUAGUUUCUGCCAUAACUUAAAAAAUAUAUACAAUGAAGGGAAAAUCAAGGAAAUCAAAAACUAGAAACUGAGUAAUAACAAGGAUUAGAGCAUAGUACAUGACCGAUAUCACAAUGAGGGGAAACUUGACUUUUCGAUGGUUUUUUUAAUCUUAAGAGGCGCAAACGAUGAUUAUAGAUGGAGAACAUAACUAUAUGUAUUCUGGGUUCACUGAAAGUCUAAAACUUUGAGCUGAGCUGAGUUGAUCCCAAUUAAAUGAUAAUUCGAGUUGGGCUGUACAAAUCUAGACCAAAACCUGCAAAUCAAGGCAACCCAAAUUGAAAAGAUGAAAACUUUAAGACUCUAGAUUGAAAACGAAGCGAUCUGAAUUGAGAUUCACAAAAUCACAAAACAAUAACGAACCUAAUGCAAAUGUAAAAGGUUGAGUAUUGGGCCAGUAAAGACCUGAGAAGUAUGAGUGUGACACGUGAAAUGCAAUGAAGCCUCUAAUCUGGGUUCACCUCCCUCUAGUCUGGGUUCAACUCCCGGUAUCUAGUAUUGCAGAUGGAGAGAAUGUGCAGCUAAAUGGUUAUUGUACUCUAAAACGUAUCCAAUCGUAUCCGGAUCGUAUCUGUUGAGUUGACUUUGGACUACAUAGUUAGGAUACGUUUUUCCAUCAAUGAAUAUGUGUAUAUGGCGUAUCGGACACGAGUAUGAUACAAACAUACCCAGUUUUUCCCGUAUCCAUGCUAUAUAGAGUGUUGGCACAUAUUACUUUAUUCUUGUGUACUUGGCAAGACUUUUAUUGAGUUAUGAAUUUUUUUUUGACAGAAAACAUAAAGAAGUAGCUGGAAUUCUGGAAAUAGAGGUAGCUAUGGAGAGGAACAUGAAGAGUUUUUUUAUUUUCCCAUGUUGUUCAAUUGAAGUUGUAUUUCAAAUUGUAUAGUACAUUAGAGAAAUUCAUGGUUGAAAGUGGAACCUAAUUAUAUAUAUUUUAAUAUACCUCUAGUUUGCCACUAAUAUUGGUGGCUUUGAGAAUACACUGAUAUCCAAUAGUAGGAAAUGAAAAGGUUUGCUGUCUUGGAUGGGGGAUGUCACUGAUGUAUUAUUAGUCAAAUUCCCCAAUUGAACUUGUUAUAGAGGACACUGAUAUUGUAUUAGUGACUACAGGGGUGCUAAUGCCAUUCCACACUGUUAUCGGGAUGUAUUUUCCCCAAUAGGGACUAUUCUGUAAUUCAUACGUGUGUAUUGGGAAAGU